rnacentral:rRNA from 1 species
GAUGAACGCUGACAGAAUGCUUAACACAUGCAAGUCAACUUGAAUUUGGGUUUUUAACUUAGGUUUGGGUGGCGGACGGGUGAGUAACGCGUAAAGAACUUGCCUCACAGCUAGGGACAACAUUUGGAAACGAAUGCUAAUACCUAAUAUUAUGAUAAUAGGGCAUCCUAUAAUUAUGAAAGCUAUAAGCGCUGUGAGAGAGCUUUGCGUCCCAUUAGCUAGUUGGAGAGGUAACAGCUCACCAAGGCGAUGAUGGGUAGCCGGUCUGAGAGGGUGAUCGGCCACAAGGGGACUGAGACACGGCCCUUACUCCUACGGGAGGCAGCAGUGGGGAAUAUUGGACAAUGGACCGAGAGUCUGAUCCAGCAAUUCUGUGUGCACGAUGAAGUUUUUCGGAAUGUAAAGUGCUUUCAGUUGGGAAGAAACAAAUGACGGUACCAACAGAAGAAGUGACGGCUAAAUACGUG